rnacentral:rRNA from 1 species
CCGGCGCACGGGUGAGUAACACGUAUGCAACCUGCCUGCCACAGCCGGAUAAUCGGGAGAAAUUCCGUCUAAUACGGCAUAAUGCAUCGACGGGACAUCCUGUUGGUGCCAAAGGUUAAUUCCGGUGGCGGAUGGGCAUGCGUCGCAUUAGGUAGUUGGUAGGGUAACGGCCUACCAAGCCGACGAUGCGUAGGGGUUCUGAGAGGAAGGUCCCCCACAUUGGAACUGAGACACGGUCCAAACUCCUACGGAAGGCAGCAG